rnacentral:lncRNA from 1 species
AGUAAUAUAGCCUUCUCUUUUCUCCUAGUGGCUUGGACAUCCAGAAAACACAGAUUGUCAGAAUGCUGCCCAACUGAAAGUAAUUCAGUCUACAUUAUUUUCAUAAAAAUAAAGGUCCUCACCAUGUUUCAGCGAUGCAUGGAAUCGGAGUCAACCCACCGUCAUGAUUUAAGAGCAGAAAGAAGUAACUAAUUAAUUUGUUUGUAAUCUACAUGUUUUCAAAUCCAUAUUUAGCUUGGAAUUCAGUCAACUUUAACCAGUGUGUUUUAUUACACACUUUUGAAUGCCCU